rnacentral:lncRNA from 1 species
CAAGACUUUUUAGAUAAAAGGAAUAAGUAUUAUUCCGACCUCUACGAAAAUUCAGCCAUUUAUUACAAAGAAACACACUUGCUUUAAGCGAAUUUAAACGGAGCCAACAGAUUAGAGGCAAAGCAUAUUACUAAAUUGUGACCUAUUCUUCACGAACAUCACCAUAGCUGUCGACUCCAAAGCUUGACAAGCCUCUAGAAUAGCAUCCCGAUCCUCCUCCUUCUGAAGUAGAGC